rnacentral:rRNA from 1 species
CUACGGGGGGCAGCAGCGAGGAAUAUUGCACAAUGGGGGGAACCCUGAUGCAGCAACGCCGCGUGGAGGAUGACGCAUUUCGGUGUGUAAACUCCUUUUAUAUGUCAAGAAAAUGACGGUAGCAUAUGAAUAAGCACCGGCUAACUCCGUGCCAGCAGCCGCGGUAAUACGGAGGGUGCGAGCGUUACUCGGAAUCACUGGGCGUAAAGGACGCGUAGGCGGGUUGGAAAGUCAGGUGUGAAAUCCUACAGCUUAACUGUAGAACUGCACUUGAAACUGCUAAUCUAGAGUAUGGGAGGGGGAGAUGGAAUUAGUGGUGUAGGGGUAAAAUCCGUAGAUAUCACUAGGAAUACCUAAAGCGAAGGCGAUCUCCUGGAACAUUACUGACGCUAAGGCGUGAAAGCGUGGGGAGCAAACAGGAUUAGAUACCCCCGUAGUC